CGCGGUAAUACGUAGGUGACAAGCGUUGUCCGGAUUUAUUGGGCGUAAAGGGAGCGCAGGCGGUCUGUUUAGUCUAAUGUGAAAGCCCACGGCUUAACCGUGGAACGGCAUUGGAAACUGACAGACUUGAAUGUAGAAGAGGAAAAUGGAAUUCCAAGUGUAGCGGUGGAAUGCGUAGAUAUUUGGAGGAACACCAGUGGCGAAGGCGAUUUUCUGGUCUAACAUUGACGCUGAGGCUCGAAAGCGUGGGGAGCGAACAGGAUUAGAUACCCUGGUAGUCCACGCCGUAAACGAUGAGUGCUAAGUGUUGGGGGCUUUCCGGCCCUCGGUGCUGGAGCUAACGUAUUAAGCACUCCGCCUGGGGAUUACGACCGCAAGGUUGAAACUCAAAAGAAUUGACGGGGACCCGCACAAGCGGUGGAGCAUGUGGUUUAAUUCGAAGCAACGCGAAGAACCUUACCAGCUCUUGACAUCUUCUGACAACUCUAGAGAUAGAGCGUUCCCUUCGGGGACAGAAUGACAGGUGGUGCAUGGUUGUCGUCAGCUCGUGUCGUGAGAUGUUGGGUUAAGUCCCGUAACGAGCGCAACCCUUGUUGUUAGUUGCCAGCAUUAAGUUGGGCACUUUAACGAGACUGCCGGUGAUAAACCGGAGGAAGGCGGGGAUGACGUCAAAUCAUCAUGCCCCUUAUGAGCUGGGCUACACACGUGCUACAAUGGAUGGUACAACGAGCAGCGAUCCCGCAAGGGCUAGCUAAUCUUUCAAAGCCAUUCUCAGUUCGGAUUGCACUCUGCAACUCGAGUGCAUGAAGUCGGAAUCGCUAGUAAUCGCGAAUCAGAAUGUCGCGGUGAAUCCGUUCCCGGGUCUUGUACACACCGCCCGU
rnacentral:rRNA from 1 species